rnacentral:rRNA from 1 species
GACGAACGCUGGCGGCGUGCUUAACACAUGCAAGUCGAACGGUAAGGCCCUUCGGGGUACACGAGUGGCGAACGGGUGAGUAACACGUGGGUGAUCUGCCCUGCACUUCGGGAUAAGCCUGGGAAACUGGGUCUAAUACCGGAUAGGACUCCGGACUGCAUGGUCUGGGGUGGAAAGCUUUUGCGGUGUGGGAUGGGCCCGCGGCCUAUCAGCUUGUUGGUGGGGUGAUGGCCUACCAAGGCGACGACGGGUAGCCGGCCUGAGAGGGUGACCGGACACACUGGGACUGAGAUACGGCCCAGACUCCUACGGGAGGCAGCAGUGGGGAAUAUUGCACAAUGGGCGCAAGCCUGAUGCAGCGACGCCGCGUGAGGGAUGACGGCCUUCGGGUUGUAAACCUCUUUCAGCAUCAACGAAGCGAAAGUGACGGUAGGUGCAGAAGAAGGACCGGCCAACUACGUGCCAGCCGCCGCAGUAA